rnacentral:lncRNA from 1 species
GGCGUACACCACAUGCUCCUGAAUGCCAGCAUUUUCCCAGGGGGCGUCUUUCAGACUUCCUGUGCGCCUUGUGGACACGUCAUACAAGAGCAGGCAGUGCCAGGUGAAGAAAACUAGGACAUACCAUGUGGAGAACACUGAACUGUCCGGUUUGGAGGCCGACAGGACGGCUUGCUUAUUGCACAACAUCGAUGAAACCUCAAGGCUGUAGAACAGAGAAAGUAACGCUCUGGGGUCUCCAGCUCAAUGCCCCAUUCCUGGUGCGCAGCGGAUCCUCACUGCACGUCCAUUCUUUGCUUUCGUUUCCCUCCUGCAAGUUCAGGAAGGAAUGUGCGGGGGAGAGUCUCACCAACGGUGUCCACCAGGCCUUAAAUGGGUUUACUGUGGUUUCAAUAGCAUCGAUUGCUACAACACACAGAUUAAAGCGUACUUUACCACUUAGCGGCUUUUUUCUUCUUGCAAGCAGAUGGCGAU